rnacentral:lncRNA from 1 species
UUUAUCUGGUUAUGGUACUUGGUGAUAAAGGCUUUCGAGAGCCUAUUAUUUCUAACCUCUAAGUACAGACCCCAGUGAAAAAUAUACUGGGGAGAUUCAACCUCUCUAUGGGAAAAGGUUCAAACACCUUUUCCAAAUUUAAAAUUUGCCUUAAAUGCUCUCUGCCACACUGCCUUUGACAGUCUUGAAAGUCCAUGUAGUUCUCUAGAGAGACUUCAAAAAGAUGUGAUUUUAUCAAAGACUAAUCCUGUGCCUCUCGGGUUCAGCGUUUUAUGUCUUGCACUUUCCCUGGGAAGGAGUGAACCUCUUUUCUCUAGCUCUGGGUCUAUUAUAUUUAAUUCUGCUCUUGAUAGUCAAAGACCAGAGACAAUUACUGUCCUCUGAACAACCCUUCGAGAAGCCAGACUGGUGUUUGAUGAAUGUUAUGUACUAAAUAAAACCCAUCAGCAUGGGGUUACGUAGAAAAGCAAUUUAUUCCAUUAUAAGCACUUACACAGUUAGUCAUGGAGAGUAACAGGCCUGCUGGUGAAACAGGUCACCCAAAAUAGAGAUGGUACCAAACUAGUGGUCAAGGACUAACUCCUUUAAAAAAAAAAAAGGCAACUCUUAUCCAGGAUUAAUUUAAUUUUAAAAACAAAUACAAGCUAUCAAUUCACUCUUCUCAACUCAACUGGACAGUCUACCUGUGGUAUAACUGUCAGGUAAAAACAUACAUCUUUACAACUUGGUGGUCCCAAGUUUUUUAAAAAAACCAUUUCACAGAAAGGAAAGAAAUAUGAAAACAGCUCAAGAAAUACACUAACAAGCAAAAAUAUAUGGGGAAAGAGGAACACAUAGGUUUGACUUAACUGAAGAAACAGGGGAGACUGGUCUACAUAGGAAAAUGUGCAUCCUGGAAAGUCAGGUGUGAAGAUUUCAGAAGAGGAAUUUAUAGGACUUGAAUCUCCCCCAUUUCCUGAAUAAAAAUGACAUCGUGUGGUAUUUAUACUCCAUGGCUCAGACACCUACCUCACUUGGCUCUAUUCCUUCCUCACUUUAGCCUUAACUUAAAGGAGUCUGAAAAACUUGGGGAUACAGCCUAAGAAGAAAAAUAACCACACACAAUAUUCCCCUUUCUAAAGUGGCUACUUUAGACCUUUGUUACUAGAAAAUUCCUGAAGAAAAUUUAAAUAGAAGUCUGUGGUUUUACUGAAUCAAGUCCCCCAGUUAAUAUUUAGAAAACACCCUCUGUUUGGGCUAGUAACAUUGUUGAUGGUACCUAUCUAUCAUAGAGGGAUAGCCAAACAAAGUCUGUGUCUCAAAACCAGUGUUAAAUCAAUCUCAGGGUUGAGAGGAAAAACAGGGGAGUCUAAAAUCACAAGAAGUGCAGACAUAUCUAGGACCCUUGUCCUUCUGGAUCCACGCUUCCUUCAGGGUCUUCAUCAUUAUAAAUGUUCUCUGCCUGCCCAAAAACAAGAAACAGAGAAAGGGCAUUUAGUAAACAUGGAAGAUAUUUCUUGAAGUUAAAGUUUCAAAAACAGAUCAGGCCAGAGAGAGAGACUGAACCAGAGUCUCUGUAGCAACUAUUCAGCCCUGCAGUUGCUACAUGAAAGCAACCAUUGACCAUCUGAAAAUGAAUGGGUAUGGCUAUGUUCCAAUAAAAACAGGCAGCUGGCCCACAGGCCAAGUAGAUUAGGACAUUCCCACAAAACUGAAGUAUGGUUACUGUUUGUCUUCACACUCAACCUUCAGGAGUCCUUUUAUUGGACGUUAGUCACAAGAGUCAAAAAGUAAAAACGACAGGGGCGCCUGGGUGGCUCAGUUGGUUGAGCGUCAGACCGGCUCAGGUCAUGAUCUCACAGUUUGUGGGUUCAAGCCCUGCAUCAGGCUCUGUGCUGACAGCUCAGAGCCUGGAGCCUGCUUCAGAUUCUGUGUCUCCCUCUCUCUGUCCCUCCCCUGCUCACGCUCUCUCUCUCUCUCUCUCAAAAAAAAUAUAAAACAUUAAAAAAAAUUUAUAGAAUUAAAAAAAGUAAAAACACCACAAAUGCCCAUCAAAUGAUGAAUAAAUAAAAAUGGUAUGUGGCAAUAAAAAAAAGGUAGUCACAUAUUGUAUUAUUUAGUUUAUAGUAAGUGUCCAGAACAGGCAAAUCCGUAAAGUGGACUGGGGAUUGCCUACUGUUGGGUGGACUGGAGAAAAAUAGGGAGUGAUGGCUAAUGGGUAUGCAGUUUUUCUGAGGGGUAAAUUACUGUGGUGACGGUUGCAUAAUUCUGUGAUUACAGUAAAAAAUAAAUAAGCGUUCAUUAAGAGACUCCCCCCCCCCAACCAUGGGUUUCAAAUCUCAAUUUAUGAAUAUUUUUAAAAGAAAAUUGCUCUAGGGACGCCUGCGUGGCUCAGUUAGUUGGGCGUCCAACUUCGGUUCAGGUCAUGAUCUUGCAGGUCGUGGGUUCGAGCCCCACAUCGGGUGCUCUGCUGUCAGCAUGGAGCCUGCUUCAGAUCCUGUCUCCCUCUUUCUCUCUGCCCCUCCCCUGCUUGCGCAUGUGCUCGCUCUCUCUCAAAAAAAAAAAAAAAAAGAAAUGUAAAAAGAAAAAAGAAAACUGCUCUAGCAUAAACUCUACUUCUAUUAUUUGAUGAGAAACUUGCAGCCAAAGGCAUAAUCUUAAAUACAGAAAAUACUUUUAUUUGGGGAAAGUUAACUGUUCUUACUUAGCAUCUACUGUGCACAAAUCACUAGGCUAGGUGCUGCAGAGGAUGCGACAGUCUUAUCUUUAAAAAGCCUGUGAUCUGACUGCAACAGGAACGUAUACGAUUUUGUAAUGUUUUCUGACAACGAAUGUGUAACUGUCUUUUUCACCCAAAGGUGUCUAACAAUUCAAUUCAAUCCUGACACUAACUACACCUAGAAGUAGUGUCAGACUCCACAGGUUUAAGGGCCUGGUCCCACAAGACUAUAAUCCUCACUUCAGAGGCCAGUGUCAAGCGGAGUGCCCAGACUAACCAUGUACUUCUGUCCAACUUGCCUAUAAAACUUGGGGGUUUCCACAGGCUGCCCUCCCACCCCCUGCCAUCUUAGAUUUGAUAAUUUGCUGGAAUGAUUCAUAAAAUCAUGAAAACUUUUAUUUAGUAUCAGCAGUUUACAACUUAAAACUCAGGAAUAGUCAAAUGGCAGUGAUGCCCAGGGCACGGUGAAAAGGGAGCACAGAGCGUCCAUGCCUUCCCUAGGCAGCAUCGAUCUAUUUAACAACUUGGAAGCUCAUUGCAUCGAGAAGUUUUAUAGAGGCUUUUCAAGAGUCUUUACAGAGCGCAAUCCCCUCUGCUUGUGGGUGGGAGGGACUGAAAAGUUUUCCAAUCAACUGUUCAGUCUUUUGGGAGUUCAGACCUAUCCUGAGGCUAUCCAGUGGCCCUAAGUUACCUCCUUAGCCUAAACUCAGGCGUGGCCAAAAGGGGCUCUUUAUAAAUAGGAAUAGAGACUUCUACCACUCUGACAAUUCCAAAGGUUUUAGGAUCUCUGUGCUAGGAACCUGGACAAAGACCAAAUAUUUAUUUUAUAAUUCUCCUUUUCUUUUACCACAAUUCUAAAAAAAACAAGUAAAGAAAAUACCUGGCCUGCCUGAAGAUGAUGUAGUUCAAUCUACUACAACAAUCCCAUGGGAACAACUAAAAUAUUUUUAAUUUAAAGGCUAUCCAAGGCAGAUUAUUUCACUUUUCCGUCUUUAAUUUUUAUAUUAAUUUUAUGUGGGUACAAUACAAGGAAAAAGGUGAGCCAGAUUUUCUGUUUACACAUAUAACACAUAAUUAUUACUAAAAGGAAUAAAGAAGAAAUAAAAAUACUCCCUAAAUAUACCAACCACAUUUUGACAAACAGCCUUCUAAAUAGUUACACAUAAUUUUUUAAAAAUGUUUAUCUUUGAGAGUGCACGCAUGCAGGCGCACCCAGGCACCCCUAAUUAAACACUAGCUACAAUAAUUUUAACAUGAGGGAUUACAGCAUGCUAUUGUUCUACAACCUGUCCUUUUCCUACUUAAAAUGUCAUGGGUAUCUUAUAAAAACAAAGCACAUUUCUUUUUGAUACAUAAUAUUCCAAAGUACAGAUACACCACACAAUAUGUUAAUCUCAGGAGCACCUGGGUGGCUCAGUCAAACAUUGGACUUCCGCUCAGGUCAUGAUCUCAUGGUUUGUGAGUUCAAGCCCUGUGUCCAGCUCUAUGCGAACAGCUGACAGCCUGGAGCCUGCUUUGAAUUCUGUGUCUCCCUCUCCCUCUGCCCCUCCCCCACUCACGCUAUUUUAAAACUAAAAUAAACAUUUAAAAAAAUCUGUGGUAAACACAUAAAAUUUACCAUCUUGGGGCGCCUGGAUGGCUAAGGCAGUUAAAUAUCCGAUUCUUAAUUCUGACUCAGGUCAUGAUCCCACAGUUUGUGGGACUGAGCGUCAGGAUCAGGGCUGACACCACAGAGCCCGCUUGGGAUUCUCAUUCUCCCCCUCUCAGCCCCUCCCCCACUUGCACACAUGCUCUCUCUCCAAAAAAACUUACGAAAAAUAUCUUAAAUUUACCAUCUUAACCACUUUUUAAAAGCGUUUCAUUUUUGAGACAGUGUGAGUGGGGAAGGGGAAGGGGAUACAGCAGAUCCAAAGUGGGCUCUGCACUGAUAGCAGUGAGCCUGAUUCGGGGCUUGAACUCACCUAACCAGAUCAUGACCUGAGCUGAAGUCAGACACUUGACCGACUGAGUCACCCAGACAGCCCCCAUCUGAAUCAUUAUUAAGUGUACAGUUCAGAGGCAUUAAGCCCAUUCACCUUAUGUCCAACUAUCAACCACCAUCCAUCUCCAGAAGGCAAGUGUUUCUAACUCUGCUAUAUAUUAGACAUCAUAGUUAUCUUUUAUUAAAUUCCAAGCUCUCUGGAAAUUCAAAGAAUUCACCUCAAUCACCUCCAACCGGGGUAUAAAGGGCAAGGAUGUUUUCAGCAUCUACUAAAAUUUCAUGGAGAAAUGAUAGUAUUUGAUGCUGUGCCACUGUGGUAGGCAUGUGCUGGGCAUGUUCAUAAGCCACUUCAAAGGAAUGCCAUUCUCAAAGAUUCAACUGCCAGCAAAGAGGGGAAAGCAGAAGGCAAGCCAACAGCAAGGAGGUUAUUAUAGUCUAGAAAGUAGUAGUAAGAAUCUGACAAAAACUAGGGUGUGUAGUAGAAACAGGAAAGUAGGUAUGUAAGUGUGUAUUCUGUAAGAGGAGUAUAGAUAUGACCCUGCAGACAGACAAUGUUAAACCUGGUAAGUGAACUAGACUUAGAAGUCUAGUGAUAAUAAACUCUUGAGUUUUCAAGUUGGAAGAGCUGGAGAAGACACUAGAGCCAUAUAGGAAACAGGAAAAUCAGGAGGAAAGGGGAGUAAGGUAAAGGGGGAGAGAAGUUUGGUUUGAGUCUGAAACACCACUGGCACAAGAAGAUAAAGGUAACAAGCAGACACUUGAAAAUGAUAAUGUGCAGCUAAGUGCUAAAGUCAUACUCAGGAAUAAACUGACCAGAGAGGCCAGUGGUAUUCAUUAAAGUCUAUAAAUAUGAAGUGACACUACAUCUCAUUUACCUAACCUCCCCCAAAUAAAUGAUUAACACUUACCAUUUGCCAAACCUGCAUGAUAUUAUCUUCUGAUACAGAACAAAUCACCCAAGGUUCAUUGGGAUUCCAGGAGAAAUCAGAUAUCUUGGCAGUGUGACCACCAUGAAUAAACUGCAAGAGGGAGAAAAACAAAGAUAUGAGGAACAGAUAGAGGACAAUAAAUACAGACUAUUUCAAUACUACUCAGUGUGUGUAACAUACCAACAAUUCUGGUGGCCCAUCUUCUGCAUCUUCUGGGGAUUGUUCCUCUCCAAUUUUACUAGCACAAGAAAAUUUUUAUAAGUUAAAACAUUUAUCCUGAGUAACUAAUUUGGGAAAGUAUAAAUAAAGUUAACUCCACAAAAAGUAACUAACACAAGAUUUACCUUAAAUCCCAGACGUUCAGUCUGCGAUCAGUACCACUGGAAGCCAAAAUAGUCUCAUUGUGAGGCGACCACUGAACCUAUAGUAAGAAUGAAGGAAACAGAAAAGCAUUUAGAAAAUUCAGGGAGGGGGCACCUAGGUGGCUCAGUCAGUAAGCGUUCGACUUCAGCUCAGGUUGUGAUCUCACGGUUCAUGAGUUUGAGCCCCACGUCGGGCUCUGUGCUGACAGCUCAGAGCCUGGAGCCUACUUCCGAUUCUGUGUCUCCUUCUCUCUCUGUUCCUCCCCCACUCACGUUCUGUCUCUCUCUCAAAACACAAAUAAACAUUAAAAAAAAAUUUAAAAAUUGAGGAGAAAAUACCUAAAUUAUAUUUAACAAUUAAAACAUUUUGUAAAUAAAAGAAGAAAUCAACGUAUUUUAGAUGUUAUAAAACUUGACAGCUAGAUAAUAUUGUUUCUUAUAUGGAAAUAAUCUAUCACUAAACCUAGGAAGUCAGCUUUUGUUCUUUUUCACUUUACACGUAUGUAUUUUAAAGAUUUUUAAACUUUAAAGUAGGCUCCACACCCAAAGUGGGGCUUGAACACACGACCCCAAGAUCAAGAGUUGCAUGCUCCACCAACUGAGCCAGCCAGGUGCUCAUCUUAUAUUUUUGAGGAUCUGAUCUUAUCUAUUCUUACGAAUUCUGGCUUCUGGCUGAAUGUAAUCCAAUUCUGACCUUAGAACCAAAAUGCAAAACACAUACACACAAUAUUUUCUCAAAUACUUACUAUAAAUUCAGCACUAUAAAACUGAUAAAAAAUGACUCCUUACAAUAAUGACUUUAUUAAAGUUAGCUACUACACACACAACAAAAUCACAUAUUGUUACACUGUUUGAUAAGAAAGUCCUAGGUUCACGGUACGGAUAAGAGUGCAUUAGUGACCAAUACUUAGGGAGGAAUUUAGACAUACUCCUGGCAAGAAUACCAUUACAGGCAAGGACAAAAAGACAGAGUAAAGACAAAAUGUUCACUGGAGAGGCUGAGAGUAGAAAAUAAGGUUAAGUGAGACUAAGUGCAUGGGAAAAUGGCUCACCUAGAGACUAGUUCAGAGGCCACUUUCACACAACCAAAAUUAAAUUUGACCACUUUUAGGUUCUUAACACUUGACCAUCUUUUAUUAUGGUGACUCUAAAUGGGCCUUUCCUUGCUAUAGAAUUGUAAGCUCUUUGACAGCAAAGACUAGAACAUAUUCCUCACAGUUUUCCAGCAAUAAGCUUUGAACAUAGUGCAACAUUUCUUGACUGAGUCAGUUUUUCCAGAUUAAGAAAGGAGCUUAAACUCAUGAGGCAGGAAACAUGGGGGCUAGCACUUUAGGCUUCAACAACAAAAUCAACAGACAUGGCAAGUUCUGGAAAUAAGGUAAGAGACAAGGGUCAGAGACAAGAAUAAAAUCAGACCCUAAUUUUCCUUCUUUUUUUGUGGUUUAAUUUUUUAAGUUUAUUUAUUUUGAGAGAGAGAGAGAAAGAGGGAGGGAGGGAAGGGCAGACAGGGAAGGAGAUGGAGAAUCCCAAACAGGCGUGGAGCCUGACGCGGGGCUUGAACUCACUAACUGGGAGAUCAUGAUCUGAGCCAAAGUCGGACACCUAAACGACUGAGCCACCCAGGCGUCCCCAGGCACUAAUUUUCUUAAUACCUCAAGAAUAUAAGUGGCCAAUGACCAGUUUGAGGAAGUAUAGAAAUAACAAUCCCAAUUCCUACAGAGAUUAGCAUAAACAUGUAGAAGGUUUUUAUUAUUUAUAGUAAUGGGAUAAACCACAAGUGUGCCUACUCACACAUCCAGGUUUUCCUUAAAGAAAAAAAAAAAAGCACAUUAGUUUCUCUUACUUGGAAUAUUUCAUCCUUAUGUGAUUCAAAGGAAUGCAACUUAAGUUUCAGAUUUCUCAGAUCCCACAAAGCAACGGUCUAGAUACAAAAAGGAAAGCAAGAACAAUCAAUUUUUUUUUAAUGAGAAGAAAUUCCGUAACUAAAAGAUCUCUGUGCAUUCAAAGGAAGCCAGAGAAAUUCACCCUAUGUUUUUUCUUAAAAUAAAACAAACUGACCUUGUCAGCCGAUCCUGUGGCAAGAAUGAACUCACUGUAAGGAUUGAAAGAUAGGCAGUUCACUUCAGCAGUGUGAGCAUCAACUGAGUGGCUUGGUUUGGAAGUAUUGUUUGAACGAGUAUCCCAGCUUUGAUAAAAAAGAAAAAACAGGAAAAAAGCUUAAAAUAGGUAACAAUAUAAAACUUAGAUAACAAAGAAAAAAUUAAAACACGAUUCUACUCACAUCAUAAGUUUCUGAUCAUCAGCAACUGACCCAAACAGAGACUCAUGGAGCAGAUGCCAGGAAACGUCUUCUACUACUGCUGUAUGCCCUGUAAAGAUGGUCUUCGCAUCCACAACUUUUCCUUCCUUUGGAACAGCACUGAUGUCCCAGAGGCAGAUGGUCUUAAAUGUAAAAUUAACUAUUAUAUAAAUGGAAGAUUCUCACUUUCCCACACACCCCAGAAAAGAAACCAACUGAUAACUAGCCCAGAUUUGCUUCAAAAUGGGAAGGAUACGCACAUGGUCAUCUGAAGCACUAAGUAAGUGCCCACUGAGAUUUGGGUUCCAAGAAAGCCCAUAGCCUUCCUUCUGAUGUCCACGGAGACGCAGGUCGGGGUUGCACUCUCCAGAAGGGUCUGCAAAGUAACCGACAUAUCAAGACUAUCCAGAGCCCACUUCCUCCUUGGGUCUACUAAACAUAAUGGAAUUUUGAUCAAGAGUUCGAAGGCUCUUCCUAUCUACAGCGAUACAGACCCAUUAUGAUCAAAGAAUGCUUAAAAUUAAAUGAGCAUCACUCUAUUCUGUGUAAAAAAGCACUUUUUUCCCCACCUGGGUAAGAAGAAUGAAAAAUACCCACACAUACCAGUAUAAAUCACCAGUAUAAAUUAUACAAAGAAUAACAAGCAAUUAAAUUCCAAUUGAGUGGAGCAAUGUAUUCCCACAGCGACUCAUUAUCUGUAUUUGAACUAAAGAGGGCAGGUACCUGGUUUGGAAGGAUGUUUGGUAUAGUCAAAAACAAGAACAUCGCUGGAUGGAGUCUUUGUUGCAAUGAUGCAAGGGUUCUGGGGCAUAUAGCGUGCCCUGUUUACUUCUCCUUCAUGGUUGAUCUUGAUCUCUAUUUCAAUUUUUCCACUAACUGAGCCAAAACCUCCAAAUUCUGUAAAUAAGAAAUUGCAAAUGAGGACAAAGCAAGAGAUACCCUAUGUCACUCAAAUGAUGACACAGGCCAAGUUUGCUUUUUAUCAGCAAACUGAUGUAAGAGAAGUAAUCUAGACAUUUGUCAGCAGUAUAAAGUGUUUUCACACCUUUUAUUGAUUCUUACUGCAAUACUACACAGUAGGGAACAGUUAAUAUCCUCAAAAUUUUUACAAAGAAAAACAGAAAUCUGGAGUACCUACAUUAAUGUGUUCCUAGUGACAUGACUUUGGCAGAACCUAAUGUGAAUCCCCAUUUUUUGAUUCCCAGUCUAGUAUUCUUUCAGCCAUAACUACACCAACUCUGGAGAGUUGUAUAAUUAAUAAAUAUAUAUGCUAUCUAAAAGUAGGAACACUAUACCAAUUCCACUUCAAAAGUAGGUUCUUGGGGUGCUUUGGUGGCUCAGUUUGUUAAGCAUUCAACUUCAAGUCAGGUCAUGAUCUCACUCGCUGCUGUCAGCGCAGAGCCUGCUUCAGAUUGUCUCCCCCUCUCUGUCCCUCCCCUGCUGGAGUUCUCCCUCUCCCUCUCUCAAAAAUAAUAAACAAAAUAAAUCAAAAAGCAGAUUCUCAAGCAAUUAAAAAAAUUUUUUAACCUUUAUUAUUUUUGAGAGGCAAAAAGAGACAGUGUGCGAGCAGGGGAGGGGCAGAGAGAGACAGGGAGACAGAAUCCGAAGGAGGCUCCAGGCUCUCAGCACACAGCCCGACGUGGGGAUCAAACCCAUGAACUGUGAGAUCAUGACCUGUGCUGAAGUUAGACGCUUAACCGAAUGAACCACCCAAACACCGUCAAUAAUCAAUUUUUAAAUCUCACUUAAAAUACUGAAAGUGCUGAAUAAACAGAACCUAAGUUACUAUUUUAAUGAAUAUUAGAGUACACAGUAUGCCAGGUACUAAAGAGUUCUUCCUAUACCAUUUAUUUGAAGACCUAGUUUGGAAUGUCCUUUCUGAAAUACCAUCACACCAUUAUCUUUGCCCUAUACCAUUUCUUUUAGUCCAGUGACAAAACACAGAGCCCAAGAGGUAGUUUCGUUUUCCUAACCCCCACUUACAUAUGCCAACCAUGAUCCUUAGCUGAAAUAAACCAGGCAAAGAAUAGAUAAAAACAUUUCUUAUUCACUUUUGACUACUGUAUGCACUUAGUUCUCCCAAGUGUCACCAUAAAAUGUAUAACAAUAUAAUUUGUGAUUAUGUAAAUCUUGGCAAAGCAACAUAUACACAAACAAAGGUAGUUAACUAUCAGUCAAAGAAUUACAAAAGGCAGAAUAAGAUAUCUAAGUAAGAGUCGGAUGUUGGCCUAACUGCCACUUAGCUUAGUGAUUUGGGGGAAGACCUUCAAUUUCUCUGAGCCUCAAAUACUUUAUUCAUAAAGCAAAGCUGUGAAAUUAACUUGUAAAUGAAAAUGCUGUCAAGAGUACUGUUACUAAGUGUUACACUUUGAAGGACAAAAAAAAAUUUUUUUUAAGUUUAUUUGGGAGGGUGGCAGGGAGAGGGAGAAUCCCCAAAAGGCUCUGUGCUGUCAGUGUUGAACCCAACAUGGGGCUUGAUCUCAUGAACAGUGAUCACGGCCUGAGCUGAAACCAAGAGUUAGACAGUUAACCAACUGAACCACCCAGGUACCCCAGGACAAAAAUCUUUUUAAAAAGCAAGGAUAUAGAUGGGUAAUAUGGCUGGCAGAUUAGAUAACUUUCAACUUCCAAGUUAACUUUUAGACGUUGAAAUGCAAAUGUUUCAUACAGGCUAAAAAUCUAAAAAUAAAAGCUCAAAAUAGACACUAAAAGAGAAAAAAAACCACGUUAAAUGAAUUUUCCCCCAGAACUCUAGACCAUGAGCAUCUAUGAUGUAAAAAAAGAAGGCAUGAUAGGAUGUGAUUGCAAGGAACUUUCAGUCCAAACACACAGAGAUAAAAUGUAACUACAGAUGACUAUGACAAAAAAGCAGAACUACCAGAAAACAGAUACCAAUAACAAGGGAAGAACAACAGCUGGCACAGAGUCUGCAGAACAAGGGUAUUAACUACAGAAUGUGGGGUAUUUUGGUGUGGGAUACAUACUAAACAGAGGAACUCUCUAACUGUGGAUAAAGUACAGUAAUAAGUCAGCUUAGAGGAUUCACAAUUGAGUUUUUGUGAAGAUGAUGAUUUAUCAAUUUAAAAAAUAAUUAGGGGUUCUCAAGUUAAAGCUGGUAUAUGAAAGGCCAAAUCUGAAAUAGGAAAGAUUGAGGCAUCAAUGUACAAUAAUUAAAUGGCUAUCAAAGUCCAGUUAUAUUUCUAUUUUGUUUGCUUCUCUCCAUAUAAAGUGGUAUUAAAAAAACUUGAGCUACAAUGUAGUAUAAGUGCCUAGUUUGACACAUUUUUACAAAUGUAUACACUAGGAAAACCACCACCCAGAUCAAAAUACAGAAAUUUCCAGCCUCCCAGAAGGAACUAUUGUGUCCCUCCCAGCCAGUAUUCUCCCCAACGAACUAGGUAACCGGCACUGACUUUUACCUCUAAGCCACUCUUUCAGCCCAUAAAAACCUUUUCACUAUAGGGGCGCCUGGGUGGCGCAGUCGGUUAAGCGUCCGACUUCAGCCAGGUCACGAUCUCGCGGUCCGUGAGUUCGAGCCCCGCGUCGGGCUCUGGGCUGAUGGCUCAGAGCCUGGAGCCUGUUUCCGAUUCUGUGUCUCCCUCUCUCUCUGCCCCUCCCCCGUUCAUGCUCUGUCUCUCUCUGUCCCAAAAAUAAAUAAACGUUGAAAAAAAAAUUAAAAAAAAAAAAAACGUGACUAUAGCCAGGCUGAACCUAAUAUAAACACAAAUUAUUUUAACGUCAAAACAAGACUAAGUCAGUUUUUAGUUUUCACUUUGGAAGUUCAAUGAUCUUUUGAAGCUAUCUGACAUCAAUUACCUAAAACCAAAUGGGGUCAAGUGGAUGGUAACUCAUUACAAUAGUUCAAUCUGAGAGUCCAGGACAUUUCAUCUGAGAGUGAGAGAGACUAGUAACUAUCUACUUCACCACCACCUAAGAGACACUAUGAUAUUAUGUACUUCCAUCAUCGUUAAGACCAUAUGGAGAGAAGCCUAUCCAGUGAUCUGAAGAUGGGGGGGGGGGGGAGAAGAGGGAAGGGAAGUAAAGAGAAGAGGGAGAAAUGGGAGAUAAGCUAUGUAACCUUAGGGCAAGUUACAAAACAUCUAUGAGUAUCAGUUUCCUUGUGAGGAUUAAAUAGGAUGAUUUAUAUAGUGGUACAAAUAUAAUUACUGGUAUUUUAAGUUGUUUCUCCAUAAUUAAACAUUAAUUAAGGGGGAUGAAGCAAAAAUUGGCUUGAUGCUGUUCAAAAAACUCAAUUACCAGAAAAAGACUUGAGUAUAUAUGUUAAAAAAUGCCACUUCUAAAACCAGUGAAGAAAAUAAUUUGCCAGCAAAUGGUUUUUAAAAAAUUGCUGGGGUGCCUGGGUGGCUCAGUUGGCUAAGUUUCCAACUCUUGAUUUUGGCUCAGGUCUUGAUCUCACAGUGGGAUUGAGCCCCUCAUGGGGCUUCGAGCUGACAGUGCAGGGUCUGCUUGGGAUUCUCUUUCUCCCUCUCUCUCUGUCCCUCCCCUGCUCAGGCAUGGGCUCUCAAAAUAAACAAACAUUAAAAAAAAAUUUUUUUUUAAAUAAAGAUAAAAAAUUGCUAACCACUUAGAAAAAUGCUUAGAUUCCUACUCCGUACACAAUACCAAAACAAAUACCAGGAAGAUUAUAGUUUUAAUGGUUAAAACAUAAGUACCAGAAAACAACAGCUAAAUAUUUUAAAAUCUUGGAAUGAUGAAGGCAUUCAAAGAAUGACACAAUAUCUGAAGGACAUCAGAGAAAAGUUGGACAGGUAAAUCCAAUGUUGCCGAGGGCAUGGAGAAACAUACAAAUACGAUUGCUAUUGGUGGGAUUGAAUGUUUUUUGGAGGGCAGUUUUGCUCUGAUCGGCCUUCCACUUAGAAAAUUUAUCCUAUAAUGGGGCGCCUGGGUGGCUCAGUUGGUUAAGCAUCUGACUUCGGCUCAGGUCAUGAUCUCACUGUUUGUGAGUUAGAGCCCCACGUCGGGCUCUGUGCUGACAGCUCAGAGCCUGGAGCCUGCUUUGCAUUCUGUGUCUCCCUCUCUCUCUGCUUCUGCCCCACUCAUGCUGUCUCUCUCAAGAAUGAAUAAACAUCAAAAAAAUAAAAUUAAAAAAGAAAAACAAAACUUAUUCUAUAGUAAAACUAUAAAGGACAUAUGGUACAAGUACUGUUUUUGAAGUCCGAAAAUUGGAAACCACCUAAAUGUCAAAUAAGGGAUAGUUAAUUAUGACACAGUAUAUAACCAUCAAAAGGAAAUUAUGUCUAAACAAAACAAAACAAAAAAGGAGCUAUGUCUUACACAAAAAGAUGUUCAAGAUACAUCAGGCCAGAAAAGCCUAUUCUAUGCUGUAUCCCUAGUACCAAGGAAAAACCCUGGCAUUCAGUAUUUGCUUUGAUUUUUAAAAUAAUUUAUUACGGGGCGCCUGGGUGGCGCAGUCGGUUGGGCGUCCGACUUCAGCCAGGUCACGAUCUCGCGGUCCGUGAGUUCAAGCCCCGCGUCGGGCUCUGGGCUGAUGGCUCAGAGCCUGGAGCCUGUUUCCAAUUCUGUGUCUCCCUCUCUCUCUGCCCCUCCCCCGUUCAUGCUCUGUCUCUCUCUGUCCCAAAAAUAAAUAAACGUUGAAAAAAAAAAUUAAAAAAAAAAAAUAAUAAUUUAUUACAUUACCCAUCAGAAUAUUGCUUUGUCACUAAACCAAAAAUCCUAUUUCAAAACAACUUAUCUUCAUUUUUUUUAAAGAUUUUAAUUAAAAUUUUUAAUGUUUAGAGAGAGAGAGAGAACACACACAAGUGAGGGAGGGGCAGAGAGAGAGGGAGAUACAGAAUUCAAAGCAGCCUCCAGGCUCUGAGCUGUCAGCACAGAGCCUGAUGCAGGGCUUGAACUCCCGAACCGUGAGAUCAUGACCUGAGCUCCAGUCACAUGCUUAACCGACUGAGCCACCCAGGCGACCCACAAUUUAUCUUCAUUUAAUAAAAAGGAAAUUAAUGCUCAGAGAGGCUAAAUGAUUUAUCCAAAACCACACAGCUAGUGAGAGGCAUAACAGGAUCUCAAGCCAAAAUCUUCGGAUUCUUAGAUUCAGUGCCCACCCCCCCCCCAACACUAAUGCUUAUCAAGAAAAUAACUUCCCAAUAAUCAUAUCACAUAUACUUGGGUCAGUGACACAAAAUCAUGUUUGCAGAUCAUUACCUUAAGAACUUACUACUUUGCAUUCUGUAUCACCCUAAGGCAAAUAUGGAGUAAUCAAAAGAUUAACUGCACAGAACGAUCCUGGCAAAUAACUGGAGGGAGCUCAAAAGAACUUAGAUAAAAAAUGGAUUCUGCUAGUCAGAAGAAAUCUAAAGAAAGAAACAUUAAACAUCCAUUUUUUUUUUAAAAGAUCGCAAAUCUCAAAGAGUGUAACUUUUACCUCUUGGUACUAACUUGCGUUCAAGGGUAACAACAAAGGUAACUCACCCAUUUCCACCUCUACUAAAAGGGAAAAAGUAUUUAGUUAAACCCUUAGGUCAUCUCCUAAAAAUAGGAUACAAUUAAAUGGCUCAUUUAAUUUUUAUAUACAUAUCAAGUGCCAUGGUUGUCAUUUCUACCACUUCAAUCUGAGAAAGCGUAAUUUAAGCCAGUGUUUCUUAGUCUUUUUUCCCCAAGAAACAAGAUGUUUUAUAAAACAUCUUUUCUGACACUCUUGAUGAAAUUUUAAUACCAUAGAUACCCUGUAUAUUUAUGUACACCAUGCACAUCUGUGCUUUACACAUUUAAAGAAUUAAGAUGGUUUUCACACAUCCCACUCUCUGAGAACAAAUUUUCAUCCCCUUGGGGGCAAUUAUCUCCCAAGCUGAGAAUGCAUGCACAAAAACAGAAAUGGUAGACUUUUGGGGCACCUGGCUGGCUCAGUCAAUAGAGCAUGCAACUCUUAAUCUUGGGGUUUUGAGUGUGAGCCCCACGUUGGGUGUAGAGAUUACUUAAAUUAAAAAACAAUAAAAAGGGGCACCGGGGUGGCUCAGUUGGUUAAGUGUCCGACUCUUGAUUUUGGCUCAGGUCAUGAUCUCAUGGUUCAUGAGUUUGAGCCCUGCGUUGGGCUCUGUGCUGGCAGCAUGGAGCCUGCUUGGCAUGUUCUCCAUACCACCUCCCCCCCCAAAUAAAUAAACAUAAGGAAAACGACAACAACAACAAAAACCUCCUUAGUAGAGAGAGGUUUAUAGAAAAGGCACAGAACCAUGUUAUGUGUUAAGUAGCUCUUCUCAGACUUAAGAUCCGUACUGCAAACCCAGGCUUUCCAAAGCUCAAAAUCUUAUUACUAACUUGACAGGCUAAUUUAUCAAACUUAACAUUCGUUUCAUGAUACUUCAAAAAUAUAAAAAAUAUAACCCACACAUUAUUCCUUCUUUUGUUUUUAAGAUUCCUACCUCCUUUCUCACUAUCGUAGUGGGAAGCAUCAAACUGAGCAUCAUCGUUAGGGAGCUGCACACUGGCUAUCACAAGGUGGUUUUGUUCAUCCGACGUGUGUGUUCCCAGGACAAGUCGAUGAAUGCUGAAGUCUUUCCCUUCUGGUCUGUUAACAGCAACAUAUGGUCACUAUUCAAAUUAGCAACACUGAUAGAGACAAUGAAGUAGUGAUAUACAUAUACACGCAAAAAGGCACAAUUAUAACCAGGUUUUGAGAGAACAAAGUCAUUAUGAGCCACAUUUCUAACUUUUAAAAAAUCUUUUUAACGUUUAUUUACUUUUGAGAGAUAGACAGCAUGAGCAAAGGAGGGGCAGAGACAGAGGAAGACACAGAAUCCAAAGCAGGCUCCAGGCUCCAAGCUGUCAGCACAGAGCCCAACGCGGGGCUUGAACUCACGAAUUGUGAGAUCAUGACCUGAGCUGAAGUCGGACACUUAACUGACUGAGCCACCCAGGCACCCCUACACAUUUCUGACUUUUAAUGUAUCUUCCAUAGAGAAGACUACCUAGCACUUAAUAGGACUACAUAGCACUUCAUUUUCUUGACAAAAAAUUUAUAAUUACUUUGGGUAAAACAUCUAACAGAAUAAAAUGUGAAUUAAUUUCUCACCCUCCACAAUGGGUUGGAGGUAAACAAAGUAAUCGCUGGGUACACUAACACUUCAGGUUACUUCAUUAAUUUCAUUAAAAGGUAUAGAAAAGAAAAUAAUUAUUAGAUAAACUAAUUGUUCAAAUAUUUACUAAGUGCCUAAUCAGUGACACAUUGUGCCAAAAACUACGAAGUACAAAAAAUGAUUAAGACAUGAUUCAUGCCCUUAAAAAGCCAGGGCAAUUAAUCACAUAUACAAAUAAUUAAAACACAAGUCAAUAAAUACAUGAAACGUACAUAAGAAUAUGAGAAUUUAAAAAUAAAUAAAUAGGGGCGCCUGGGUGGCUCAGUUGGUUAAACAACUGACUUCGGCUCAGGUCAUGAUCUCGCAGUUUGUUGAGUUCGAGCCCUGCGUUGGGCUCUGUGCUGACAGCUCAGAGCCUGGAGCCUGCUUCAGAUUCUGUGUCUCCCUCUCUCUGCCCCUCCCCUACUCUCGCUCUGUGACUGUCUCCCAAUAAUAAAUAAACGCUAAAAAAAAUUUAAAUAAAUAAAUACAUAAGAUUGCUUCUGGAAUUAAAGAAGUAUUCAUGAAAGAGGUGAUACUUAAGCAGAUAUCAAAAUGAGAGAUAAAACCUAGAAGAGACAAGGGUUUUGAAAGACAGUAUUCCAAAGAAA